rnacentral:pre_miRNA from 1 species
CUGGCUUCAAGCGCGGGCCUCCCACUUAGUGUAUUUGACAAGCUGAGUUAGACACUCAGUAUGACGCGGUGUCAGUUUGUCAAAUACCCCAAGUGAGAGGUCGCUCAUC